GGAAACUUGAAAACUACCGUUGGAUCGAGAAAUAGACGUCCGAGAUUCGUCCACGUCACCAUGAGAGUUAAAUUUUAACUCAUGAGUGAAUCUGCGAGUUAAAUUUUAACUCAUGGUGACGUGAAACGAAUCUCGGAUGUCCAUUUCUCGAUCCAACUGUAGUUUUCAAGUUUUC
rnacentral:pre_miRNA from 1 species